UUUUGCACAUACUAUCCCAAAAAUGAAAAGAGAACUGAGCUGCACAAGAAAUCCUUCAUGUAGAAGCCUUGACACAAGAAUACUGGCUAUGAACAGGAAUAUACUAUGUGAUGGGAAUUUCUACGUGAACUGCUUCCAAAACCCAAGCUGAUCUGUGAUAAAAGUGCCAUUUUUAAGCUGAAUGAGCUUGUACAAAGUGUUACUGUAUCUAUUUUUGUCCUUGUUAUUAUUCUAAGCACACUUAAAUCAUUGUUUGGGGAGCAAUGAAAAUCAUAUAAUAUUCAAAGGCAGAAAGUAUCAGUAUUUAGCGCAAGCCUUUUGUCACUCUUCUCACAGCAAAUGACCUGUAAUAGCAAUGGUGUAAAAAAUGACAGUGGGUCCACCAAACUUGCAGCAUUCUGUACUUCAGUUUACCAGGGCUGCACUAGCUGCAGUUUAAAGUCAGAAUGACUAAGUCAGUCAAGGAAAAUGUUUUACCUUCAAGGCUUUCUAGUCCGCUCCACAAUAUGGGGAUGUGUCUCAGCCACUUUCAAAGCAAUGGGAGAUUUGUAGGGCAGACCUUACCAAUUAUGUGUAACCAGGACUGAAUGCAGACUUCAGAACACCAAGACUUUCCACAUAGCACAUGGUAUUUACAUCACUGACAUUUUUUGCAGCUUCCUGAUAUUUUGAAAAUCCUCAGAUUGUAAUUUAGAUUAUUAAAACCUUAGUUUGAGAGAGCAAUGGGAAAGCGAAAGUUCUCGACUGCUCUUUCUCAGAAGAAGGGUUGUGUCAAAAAAGAGGGUUUGGCUUUAAACACAUCCUUGUCUAAUGCAGUCUAGUAUAACCACUGAGUCAAAGCUUAAUACAGAAAGAAGAUUUUAUCCUGAAUCAACUGGUAUGGUGGCAUAUGUUAUCUGUGCACAUGUGUGUGUUCAGUUUAUGUAUGUAUAGAUGUGGUCAUGACUUGUGUGGGCACACGCCAAGAAUAGUCAAAAGCACAGUGUAUAUUCUAAUGAUGUUUAAUGUCAUAAGAUGAAGUGAAACAGCAGAAGCAGGAAAUCUCAUAGCAAACUUAUUCUUAUGCUAUGGAACUAAAAAGUCCUCUGGCAAGAAGAAGCCCAAGAAAAGAAACAGUUAUACAGUUUGUAUUCUUUCCUAAGAUAAAAAGUGAAAUCAAUUUGGGAAGUAAAAAUACAGGUCGCAGGAAGAACAGGAAAGGAACAAAGAGACAGAAGGAGUAGUUGCAUAGAGAAAUGUCAGGUAAGCCUAUUUGGUGAAAGCACUUGAAAGCACUUUGAAAAAUAACAAUGGUCUCCGAGGAUUUCUGAUGGAGCAGUCUCACAUUCUGUAAUUUGCACUGAAGGCUCUCACAUACAAGCAGCAUCUUGAAAUGUCACAUUCUCUGAUCUCUCCAGUGGAUGUCCAGCUAAGCACCUGGGGAUCUCACGGCAGUGAAGCUGUUAAACUUUUAUCACCUGAAAAAGUAAACCUUGUCACCUUGAACAGGAUUUUCCUCAUGGGAAUCUAGUGCUAUGAAUUGGAGUCAGGACUUUUCUACAAUUACCAUCCAAAAUGUAAAACCCAAGUGUUAAUAUUCUGUAAUGAAGACAUGCAGAAGGGGAAGUACCUCCAGAAAGUUCACAGAGACAAAAUAGAGCAGGACUCGGGGAUAGCUGAACUGUGAGGCAAAUAAGGGAAAAGGCUACAGAGUCGUGAAAAGUGAUGUGGGGAAGAGAUAGUGCAAGGGAGAAAAAAUGAUGGCAAGAAAGGACAAGACUAUUUGUGAUUGCUGUCCUCAAGCCAGCUCAGUAAUGCUUCUGGGAAAGCAAAAAUGGGAUGCAAGAUGAAUGAGAGACUGGUGCAGAAGAGGAGACAGACUGCAGAGCUGUCCCUACAGACUCUGCAUGCAUGAGGUGGAAGUAAGCAGUUGCUGCACAACUGGACCCAUCAUCUGAUUCCAGAUGGCUGCUUCUUUGAAGUUCAGCAAAGAAUGUUUGCAGCGGCGGUGGAUUGAUCAUCCCUUCGCUGGAAGGACGCGGCGCUUCGUUGUUGCUGAUCAACAGCGCCACUUUCUGCUGAAAGAGAAUCAUGACAUCCCGCGGAGAGGCAAACUGGCAAGCCGAUUUCAGCGACUUGAUGCAAAUCACAGACCUGCCCCCUCAGGAGCUGGCUGGUUGUAUAAGAAACUUCUUCAUCAAAAUAUGCAAAGUGGUUUCCACAAAUGUUGCAGUCUGAUAACCAGGCCUGAUGCUUUCAUGGAAAGGGAAAAAUGCAUGUUUGCCUUAAAGUUUUGUUCAAACAAUUUUAUUCUUAUUUCCCCACCAGCAUUGCCAUCAU